CAGCAUAGGGCCGAUAUCGUCUAUCUCUCGUAGAUGGUAACAUACAAGCUCAUAAAAGUUUUGGCAAGUCAAUAACUUUAAUAUAACAUCAUUCAUAUAAUAACAUAAUUAAAUAGUGCGCACUUCAAAUUCUGAGUUUAGAAAGCCCACCUGAUCGUGGUCUGACGAUCCAGGUAAUUCUGAACUAUGGAUUCACCUUCUUUUGUAUAUGACCUUCAAUAUAGAUUAACUAACUAAGUAAAUAACGAGAAAAUAAUAUGGAUUUAACUUAAAAAGUACGUAUGCGGGUCUUAAGGUGAUAUUCCUAUUUGGAAUUUAUGGACUGAAGACUAAUUGCUAUUUGACAAGCUUAUCAACAAAUGCCAACAUAGAUUAAAGGUCCAACUAUAUAAAUUAAUCUAUCAUCUAAUUUAUAAUCAUAAGCUUAAUUUUAAAAUAACUCAGUUAACUUAAAUAAAUUAAAAGCCUUAUACUCUUCCUUUUAAUAAAAUGAAUCAAAUUAACUUCUCUCUCUUAUUUCCUCACGCACACAUACAUAUACAUUCUCUCUCUGUGUUACUUCUCCCUCUCUCUCAGCUCUGUCGUCUCUCUUUCUCUCUCCCUGUCUCCGGCGACCAUCGCCGGCCUUCGUCGCCUCCGGCGCGGCGAGGUCGGCCUCUCCUCUCCCCCUUUCCUUUCUUUCCAUUUCUCUUUUCCCUAAGUCUCAAUCCCCAAAUUAUAAAAUCAAAAUCCUAGGGUUUCUACCUCUCUUCAUCCCCUCUGGAAUUCGUCUCUCCGGCGAAGCCUGCCGCCCCGCCGUCAUCUCUGUCACGCCGCCGCCUCUUCUGACUCAGGAACUGAGGUUUCAAGGGAUUACUCAGAGUGGCAGUCGUCUACUGCUCAAGAUUCAAUUUUUAUAUGAUGUAAAUCUGUUUAUUUAUUGAUUAUCGAGAAACUGGGAUUGUGUUGCUGAAUCUGAAAAGGGAUGUCUGUAGCUUAUUACUAUUACUACUAUUUUCACUAUUUUUUACUGUUAUUAAGUACAUAAGGAGAAAAGAAAGACUACCUUCUUUAUACAAACUGCACAAGCUGCUGUGGACGAUUAUAGAUGAUUUGCUUUGUUGUUUGGAAUUAGCAGAAUGGGGAAAAGAUGAGACUACUGUAACUCACCAUAUUUAUAAUCGUUUGAGUCGGUUAAAUGAAGUAGCUGGGUGGAAAGGUGAGAGAUACGUGUUAAAUCACAUGAUACGUGUUUCUUUCAUAUAAUAGAUGAUGCCUCAAUAGCUUAUCUGA